rnacentral:rRNA from 1 species
UACGUAGGGGGGCAAGCGUUGUCCGGACUUACUGGGCGUAAAGCGUGUGCAGGCGGGCCGCUAUGUGCCGUGUGAAAGCUCUCAGCUUAUCUGGGAGAGGUCGCGGUAGACAGGCAGCCUGGAGGCUCGGAGAGGUCAGUGGAAUUCUCGGUGUAGUGGUGAAAUGCGUAGAUAUCUGGAGGAACACCGGUGGCGAAGGCGGGUCUCUGGGCCGAUACUGACGCUGAGGAGCGAAAGCGUGGGGAGCGAACAGG